rnacentral:rRNA from 1 species
UACGUAGGGGGCGAGCGUUGUCCGAAUUUACUGGGCGUAAAGCGCGCGUAGGCGGACCUUUAAGUGGAGGGUGAAAUCUUGGGGCUCAACCCCAAAACUGCCUUCCAAACUGGGGGUCUCGAGGUAUGGAGAGGGAAGUGGAAUUCCUGGUGUAGCGGUGAAAUGCGUAGAUAUCAGGAGGAACACCCGUGGCGAAGGCGGCUUCCUGGCCAUAUCCUGACGCUGAGGUGCGAAAGCUAGGGGAGCGAAC